rnacentral:rRNA from 1 species
UGGCUCAGGAUGAACUUCUAGCGGGAGGCUUAACACAUGCAAGUCGAGGGGCAGCACGAUGUAGCAAUACGUUGGUGGCGACCGGCGCACGGGUGAGUAACACGUAUGCAACCUACCCUGUACAGGGGGAUAACCCGGAGAAAUUCGGACUAAUAUCCCAUGAUGAUAUUGAGGGGCAUCCUUUAAUAUUUAAAGCUCAGGCGGUACGGGAUGGGCAUGCGGAACAUUAGCUAGUUGGCAGGGUAACGGCCUACCAAGGCAACGAUGUUUAGGGGACCUGAGAGGGUGAUCCCCCACACUGGUACUGAGACACGGACCAGACUCCUACGGGAGGCAGCAGUGAGGAAUAUUGGUCAAUGGGCGCAAGCCUGAACCAGCCAUCCCGCGUGCAGGAAGACGGCCCUAUGGGUUGUAAACUGCUUUUCCAGGGGGAGAAUUUUUCUGUCGAGACAGGAAUUGACGGUACCCUGGGAAUAAGCAUCGGCUAACUCCGUGCCAGCAGCCGCGGUAAUACGGAGGAUGCGAGCGUUAUCCGGAUUUAUUGGGUUUAAAGGGUGCGUAGGCGGAUAGAUAAGUCAGUGGUGAAAACCUGCAGCUUAACUGUAGACUUGCCGUUGAUACUGUCAGUCUUGAGUAUGGUCAAGGUAGGCGGAAUGUGUAAUGUAGCGGUGAAAUGCUUAGAUAUUACACAGAACACCGAUUGCGAAGGCAGCUUACUGGGCCAUUACUGACGCUGAUGCACGAAAGCGUGGGGAUCGAACAGGAUUAGAUACUCUGGUAGUCCACGCCGUAAACGAUGAUCACUCGCUGUUAGCGAUACACAGUUAGCGGCUAAGCAAAAGCAUUAAGUGAUCCAUCUGGGGAGUACGGCCGCAAGGCUGAAACUCAAAGGAAUUG